CCUACGGGAGGCUGCAGUAGGGAAUCUUCCACAAUGGGCGAAAGCCUGAUGGAGCAACGCCGCGUGGGUGAAGAAGGUCUUCGGAUCGUAAAACCCUGUUGUUAGAGAAGAAAGUGCGUGAGAGUAACUGUUCACGUUUCGACGGUAUCUAACCAGAAAGCCACGGCUAACUACGUGCCAGCAGCCGCGGUAAUACGUAGGUGGCAAGCGUUAUCCGGAUUUAUUGGGCGUAAAGGGAACGCAGGCGGUCUUUUAAGUCUGAUGUGAAAGCCUUCGGCUUAACCGGAGUAGUGCAUUGGAAACGGGGAGACUUGAGUGCAGAAGAGGAGAGUGGAACGCCAUGUGUAGCGGUGAAAGGCGGAGAUAGAUGGAAGAACACCAGUGGCGAAAGCGGCUCUCUGGUCUGUAACUGACGCUGAGGUUCGAAAGCGUGGGUAGCAAACAGGAUUAGAUACCCGAGUAGUC
rnacentral:rRNA from 1 species